UACGUAGGGUGCAAGCGUUGUCCGGAAUUAUUGGGCGUAAAGAGCUCGUAGGCGGUCUGUCGCGUCGGCUGUGAAAACUCGGGGCUCAACCCCGAGCCUGCAGUCGAUACGGGCAGACUAGAGUUCGGUAGGGGAGACGUGGAAUUCCUGGUGUAGCGGUGAAAUGCGUAGAUAUCUGGAGGAACACCGAUGGCGAAGGCAGCCCCCUGGGUCAACACUGACGCUCAUGCACGAAAGCGUGGGGAGCAAACAGG
rnacentral:rRNA from 1 species